rnacentral:lncRNA from 1 species
UGUGGCCUAUUGCAUAAAAUUUAUUUUUAAAUUCGCAUUAUGUUUGGAACUAGUGUUCGUGUAGAAUAUAUUAGUUGCAUAUAUAUUUUACUAGGUGUUAUAUUUUUUUAGAAUAUUUCUGGUAUUUUUUAGCCAGAAAUAUACAGGCAUGUAUUUUUCUGUAGUAGUUUAAAAAAAUGGAUACUCUCCCGUACUGCGCAGACGGGCUGCACAGUGGCCCAGGAGGGGACUCGGCCGCGACUAGCAAGUGCGGGCCCAGCGCAGCUGGGGCCGACCGAGCGGCCCAGCGCACCGAGCGCCCCAGACCCUGGCGUUUUGUUUUUUUCCUCUCUUCAUUUUUCUGUAUCGCUGACGAGCCGACCCCACAUGUCAUCUUCCCCGUUGUGCUGUGUUCUUCGUGGAGAUCGUUCCCGAUCCGGACUCGAUUGAUUUGAUCAAUCUAUUUCCCCAUCGACUGCAGAAUCACCCUAUAAGAAAUCCCCAUGUCCUAGUUCACCGAUUUUUGGCACAAAAAAUAAAUCAAAGUCUCCCUUACCAUGGAGCUUCCGUUGGAACUCGCCGGAGCUGUCACAGAGGAUCCGCCGCCGGCCGCACAGGAUCCACCACCGCCGCCCGGAGAGCCGCUGGAGGAGCCCCGCCGCCUAACCCUUUCCGUCUCCGGAGAACCACUGAAGAAGCCCAUGUCUGAGACAGUCGCCAUCGUCCCUUCCCUGUUGCUCGUGGUGAGCACAUGAGCAGGAUCCAAUUCGGCCAAUCCCAGCGCGACACUUGCCGCUACAGGCUCCGGUUUUGAUGUGUUUAUUUUUAGGCAGAUUCUCGCUCAAAUUUUAAAACAUGUUUAACUAUUAGCUGGUUUGCCCGAUUUAGGAAUUAUUUUUCCUAUGAACUCAGAAUAACAAGUACAAUAUGAUAGGACCAAUAGUUUUCACGUUAGCGAUGUUUAAAAUUUAAGUUGGACCAGAUUUAGUUUAAACCUACCUGAGACCAUAACUUCCAAAUCAUUC